GAAAAACCAAGCACGAACACGAAGCUUUUGGUAUAUUCUCAAAUUAAUUCUGGCCCUCAUUUGUUAUUUAAUACAUUUAUUUCUUAAUAAUACGUCAGCAUCUCCCUUUACAUAUUACUACAAUAUAUUGUCACAAAAUUCCUUCCUAGUAUGCAGCAAUCACUCUCUCUCUCUCUCUCUCUAGAAUUUUCGAGGUGGUGGGGAUUUCUCUAUAAACUUGUCGUGGUUGAACUCUUGAAGAGAGGUGCAAGGUGGAGAUGGUGAUGAUGGGGCUGGAGAGGUUGAUGACGAGCUUGAAAUCAAAGCUGAUGAAGAGCAUGAAGAUGAAGAAUUCUUACGACAAGAUUGACAAAAGCGAGAGCAUGAGAGUCGAAAUCAGAAGCAGAAAGGCUCGCAAACUCAUCCAAGAUACCCUCAGAAUCGCUGAUUCCCCUAAAACCAGAAGCUACUCUCUCUAGAGAAUCUCUCUCUCUCUCUCUCUCUCUCUCUGUAUAAUGGGGAUAAUUUUGAUUGUGACUUACAGAUUUCUGUAGCUCUAUAUUGAUAAAUCUGAAUAAUUGUAUGUGUGGUGUUUCAAA